UACGUAGGUGGCAAGCGUUGUCCGGAUUUAUUGGGCGUAAAGCGAGCGCAGGCGGUUUCUUAAGUCUGAUGUGAAAGCCCCCGGCUCAACCGGGGAGGGUCAUUGGAAACUGGGAGACUUGAGUGCAGAAGAGGAGAGUGGAAUUCCAUGUGUAGCGGUGAAAUGCGUAGAUAUAUGGAGGAACACCAGUGGCGAAGGCGGCUCUCUGGUCUGUAACGUGACGCUGAGGCUCGAAAGCGUGGGGAGCGAACAGG
rnacentral:rRNA from 1 species